CUGAGAGUCACAGUCCUGGGAUGGACC
rnacentral:piRNA from 1 species